CUGUGGCGAUGUGCCUCUUAAGACACCUUUGGAUGGGCCGUGAAAGGAACGCGUUCUGAGCAGC
ensembl:snoRNA SNORD58 Small nucleolar RNA SNORD58